CAAUCCAGAAUUAACCAUGAAAUCAUGACCGACAUUUGCUUAAACUUUUUAAGUGCCUGAGGAGUUGUGCGAUGCUUAGAUUGACCAUGCACUCGUAGGUCUCCUUUGUCACUCAAAAGGACCAAAAACGUGAGCUGAUGUUUGUAGCAUUAAGUCACAUUAUAACCUAAGGUAACGGUUCUUUUUAGUUUCCUGCACCCUAUAUCUAGUCUGCAGAAAACCUUUAUUAUUUUUUUCCUGAUCACCAGGCUUUUUGUGUGACAUACAUUUACACCCAUUGUGUUGUUUUGACUCACAGUUACAUCAACUGAGUGUUUUUAAUAACUGCAUUCUGCGCUAUUACACCAGCUAGUCCAAAGACGAAAUGCAUGUAAACUAACAAGAAAAUCAAUUGUAACUGUUUAAUUAAAACAAUGACUGGUUAGAGACUAGGUUUAAUAUAAUAAAAAGUUAACUUGUUAGGGAGAAACUGUGUACCACACUGUUUAGAGAUGUUUUCUGGGCAAAUGCAGUAAAACCACAUCAGUUCAUGUUUAAAAAAAAAAAAAAGGUUUCAAACUGAAUGCAGGGACAAUGCCAGAGAAAUCUAGACACUAUAACCAAUUCAACGAGAUAAGUGUCCGUUUAAAACACCAAAGGGGUUUUUGUGCCAAACUCUAGGUUUCAUAUUUGUGAUGACUUCUCACCAUUCCAGGAAGACACGGAUACUUUCAAUGUUAAUGGGCACAGAAAGGGUUUCAAUGAAUCUUUCUCCAGUAGUAAUCAUUGCAGCCUGUACAUGGAAGUAGUUAAUGAGCUAGGAAUGUUGUGAGCCAUAAAACAGUUUGCCAGCUUACCUGUGAUUCACUGGGCACCAGUCACCUACUCCACAAGAGCUGAAGGCUCUCUCCACUAAGCCAAAUCCAGCAUUGCAAGGUUUAGCUCACUGGCUGAGAGUGACGAGUUAAAGUAGAGCUAAUGAAAAAUGCAUUCCACUAGCUUCUGGGUAGGGAAGAGGCUGCACUGUCUGCAAGGGUGAAAGAUAAUUACAUCUGUCGCCAGUGUGUGCGUACAUCAGACAAUUUUUACAAUAGGUAUCUCUGAAUAGAGACACGUGUGCCUGAAGCUCAGCUAUCAAGCAGAAACGCUGCAU